UGUAAAGUUGUUUCUUCAGUUUUAACCUAAUUUCUUCACAACCCUAACCCUCUUCAUUGAUUCAGCACACAAUUGAUUGUACAAGGCCUGAAUCCGACGGGCCGAAAAUUUGCCCGGUUUGAAACCAGCAUCAUCGGUUGAGGUUGGCGGCGGUCGGGUGAGGUUUAGGGUGGGUCAGAAUCCCCGGGAGACCACAAUUGGUUCUUGCAAAAAGCUUCUCAAAGAGGCCAAUUUGAGUGAGGAACCGGUCCGUCUGCUCCGGGGCCGUCUCUUGAAGCCCGUAGGACGUCGGUGCGGGGCUGCCUCCUCCUCCUUCGACAGCUUCUCGUAUGAAUGAAAAGGCGGAUAACAAAUUGAAGGAGAUGUUUGAGCAACGUGAUUGAAAGGAUCUAAAGAAUGUAUGCGAAAAUGAAAUCCGCAAUGAAGAUGGAACAAACUCGGAUACAUUCUUUCAAUCAUGUUGCUCAAACGUUUUGGAUUGCGAUUCCUUCGAUUCACUAUGCACCGUUUAAAUCAUAUGAGAAGCCGCCGCAAGAGGAGUAGGCGGCUCCACAAUGGCGUCGCCAUGGGAUUCAAGAGAUGGGCCUGGAGGCGACGGCCCGGGUCCAUUGGGCUAACUCAAAUUUGCCUUUUUCAUAAGCUUUUUCCAGGAAACAAUCGUGGUCUCUCAGGGAUUCAGCUCCACUUUAAACCGCACCAUGUUUCUAACCGGGCCCAUUUUCGGGCCGGCCUAAUCCAGGGCCUUUCACCAUCAAUUCCGUGCUCUAUCAAUGAAGAGAAUUAGUUAUGGUUGUGACGAAAUCGAGUUGAAUUUUGAAGAAACAAGCCUGCAUUUGAGUUAAUCAAAGAGGGAAAUAUGAUUUGCAUUUUUCUCAUAUUUUUCAGCUCUGUCUGAUACAAGGAAUAAAAGAUUUUACCCAAAUUAUUUGCAAAUUCA